rnacentral:rRNA from 1 species
CAGCAGUGGGGAAUAUUGCACAAUGGGGGAAACCCUGAUGCAGCGACGCCGCGUGGAGGAAGAAGGUCUUCGGAUUGUAAACUCCUGUUGUUGGGGAAGAUAAUGACGGUACCCAACAAGGAAGUGACGGCUAACUACGUGCCAGCAGCCGCGGUAAAACGUAGGUCACAAGCGUUGUCCGGAAUUACUGGGUGUAAAGGGAGCGCAGGCGGGAAGACAAGUUGGAAGUGAAAUCUAUGGGCUCAACCCAUAAACUGCUUUCAAAACUGUUUUUCUUGAGUAGUGCAGAGGUAGGCGGAAUUCCCGGUGUAGCGGUGGAAUGCGUAGAUAUCGGGAGGAACACCAGUGGCGAAGGCGGCCUACUGGGCACCAACUGACGCUGAGGCUCGAAAGUGUGGGUAGCAAACAGGAUUAGAUACCCUGGUAGUCCACACCGUAAACGAUGAUUACUAGGUGUUGGAGGAUUGACCCCUUCAGUGCCGCAGUUAACACAAUAAGUAAUCCACCUGGGGAGUACGACCGCAAGGUUGAAACUCAAAGGAAUUGACGGGGGCCCGCACAAGCAGUGGAGUAUGUGGUUUAAUUCGACGCAACGCGAAGAACCUUACCAAGUCUUGACAUCCCUUGACAGGCAUAGAAAUAUGUUUUCUCUUCGGAGCAAGGAGACAGGUGGUGCAUGGUUGUCGUCAGCUCGUGUCGUGAGAUGUUGGGUUAAGUCCCGCAACGAGCGCAACCCUUAUGGUCAGUUACUACGCAAGAGGACUCUGGCCAGACUGCCGUUGACAAAACGGAGGAAGGUGGGGAUGACGUCAAAUCAUCAUGCCCUUUAUGACUUGGGCUACACACGUACUACAAUGGCGUUAAACAAAGAGAAGCAAGACCGCGAGGUGGAGCAAAACUCAGAAACAACGUCCCAGUUCGGACUGCAGGCUGCAACUCGCCUGCACGAAGUCGGAAUUGCUAGUAAUCGUGGAUCAGCAUGCCACGGUGAAUACGUUCCCGGGCCUUGUACACACCGCCCGUCACACCAUGAGAGCCGGGGGGACCCGAAGUCGGUAGUCUAACCGCAAGGAGGACGCCGCCGAAGGUAAAACUGGUGAUUGGGGUGAAGUCGUAACAAGGUAGCCGUAGGAGAACCUGCGGCUG